UACGAAGGGAGCUAGCGUUGUUCGGAAUCACUGGGCGUAAAGCGCACGUAGGCGGCGCGUUAAGUCAGGGGUGAAAUCCUGGAGCUCAACUCCAGAACUGCCUUUGAUACUGGCGUGCUCGAGUGUGGGAGAGGUUGGUGGAACUCCGAGUGUAGAGGUGAAAUUCGUAGAUAUUCGGAAGAACACCAGUGGCGAAGGCGGCCAACUGGCCCAUUACUGACGCUGAGACGAGAAAGCGUGGGGAGCAAACAGG
rnacentral:rRNA from 1 species